UACGUAGGGGGCAAGCGUUGUCCGGAUUUAUUGGGCGUAAAGAGCGUGUAGGCGGCCAUACAGGUCAGCUGUGAAAACUCGAGGCUCAACCUCGAGACGUCGGUUGAAACCGUAUGGCUAGAGUCCGGAAGAGGAGAGUGGAAUUCCCGGUGUAGCGGUGAAAUGCGCAGAUAUCGGGAAGAACACCCGUGGCGAAGGCGGCUCUCUGGGACGGUACUAACGCUGAGACGCGAAAGCGUGGGGAGCGAACAGG
rnacentral:rRNA from 1 species